GACAGAGGCCUCGAGCGUUAGGCGGAAUCACUGGGCUUAAAGCGUGUGUAGGCGGGCCCGUAAGUGUCUUGUGAAAUCCCACGGCUCAACCGUGGAACUGCUGGGCAUACUGCGGGUCUUGGGCCAACUAGGGGCAGCCGGAACAAGCGGUGGAGCGGUGAAAUGCGUAGAUAUCGCUUGGAACGCCGAAGGUGAAAACAGGUAGCUGGGGUUGUGCUGACGCUGAGACACGAAAGCCAGGGGAGCGAACGGG
rnacentral:rRNA from 1 species